AAGAUUUUAAUGGUCGAACAGACCAAACAUUUAAACUUUUACAUUUAAACUUUACCUUAAUCCAACAUCGAGGUCGCAAACUCUUUUUUUUAUACGAACUAAAAAAAAAAAUUACG
rnacentral:rRNA from 1 species